rnacentral:ncRNA from 1 species
GAAUAUAUUUGGCAAACUUAUCGAAAGGUAAGGACGCAAAGCUAUGGGUCUAAGGGGUUCCCUAUGAUUGCCAGGCUGCCAUU